CUCGCCGCGCCUACUCGCCGGCCUCCGCCCGCUGCUACUCUCCCGCCACCCCAACCUCCAGGCCCACGCCGCCGCCACCCUGGUAAACCUGUCGCUGGAAUCUUCCAACAAGGUCCGCAUCGUCCGCUCUGGCGCCGUGCCACCGCUUGUCGACACGCUCCGGUGCGGGCACCCGGAGGCCCGGGACCACGCCGCCGGUGCUCUGUUCAGCCUCGCGCUCGAGGAGGAGAAUAAGG
rnacentral:misc_RNA from 1 species